rnacentral:rRNA from 1 species
GACGAGGGAUCCUAGCGUUGUUCGGAAUUAUUGGGCGUAAAGCGGGUGUAGGUGGCUCUUCAAGUCAGGCGUGAAAGCCCCGGGCUCAACUCGGGAACUGCGCUUGAUACUGUCGAGCUAGAGUGUGGAAGGGGCGAUUGGAAUUCCGUGUGUAGCGGUGAAAUGCGUAGAUAUACGGAGGAACACCAGAGGCGAAGGCGGAUCGCUGGGCCAACACUGACGCUGAGACGCGAAAGCUAGGGUAGCAAACGGGAUUAGAUACCCUGGUAGU